rnacentral:rRNA from 1 species
GUGAGGAAUAUUGGUCAAUGGGCGAGAGCCUGAACCAGCCAAGUAGCGUGAGGGAUGACUGCCCUAUGGGUUGUAAACCUCUUUUGCAGGGGGGUAAAGUGGUUCACGUGUGGACCAUUGCAAGUACCCUGCGAAUAAGGAUCGGCUAACUCCGUGCCAGCAGCCGCGGUAAUACGGAGGAUCCGAGCGUUAUCCGGAUUUAUUGGGUUUAAAGGGAGCGUAGGCGGGGGUUUAAGUCAGCUGUGAAAUGCCGUGGCCCAACCAUGGAACUGCAGUUGAAACUGGACCUCUUGAGAGUACAUAAGGAAGGCGGAAUUCGUGGUGUAGCGGUGAAAUGCAUAGAUAUCACGAAGAACUCCGAUUGCGAAGGCAGCUUUCCGGGGUACAUCUGACGCUGAAGCUCGAAAGUGCGGGAAUCAAACAGGAUUAGAAACCCCAGUAGUCC